CAAGACGUAGCUUUAACAAAAACAUUCAGCUUACACCUGAAAGAUGCCCGCCAUUGAUGGGUCGUCUUGA
rnacentral:tRNA from 1 species